GGGUUGUGAGGUUAAGCGACUAAGCGUACACGGUGGAUGCCCUGGCAGUCAGAGGCGAUGAAGGACGUGCUAAUCUGCGAUAAGCGUCGGUAAGGUGAUAUGAACCGUUAUAACCGGCGAUUUCCGAAUGGGGAAACCCAGUGUGAUUCGUCACACUAUCAUUAACUGAAUCCAUAGGUUAAUGAGGCGAACCGGGGGAACUGAAACAUCUAAGUACCCCGAGGAAAAGAAAUCAACCGAGAUUCCCCCAGUAGCGGCGAGCGAACGGGGAGCAGCCCAGAGCCUGAAUCAGUGUGUGUGUUAGUGGAAGCGUCUGGAAAGGCGCGCGAUACAGGGUGACAGCCCCGUACACAAAAAUGCACAUGCUGUGAGCUCGAUGAGUAGGGCGGGACACGUGGUAUCCUGUCUGAAUAUGGGGGGACCAUCCUCCAAGGCUAAAUACUCCUGACUGACCGAUAGUGAACCAGUACCGUGAGGGAAAGGCGAAAAGAACCCCGGCGAGGGGAGUGAAAAAGAACCUGAAACCGUGUACGUACAAGCAGUGGGAGCACAGAGCAAUCUGUGUGACUGCGUACCUUUUGUAUAAUGGGUCAGCGACUUAUAUUCUGUAGCAAGGUUAACCGAAUAGGGGAGCCGAAGGGAAACCGAGUCUUAACUGGGCGUUAAGUUGCAGGGUAUAGACCCGAAACCCGGUGAUCUAGCCAUGGGCAGGUUGAAGGUUGGGUAACACUAACUGGAGGACCGAACCGACUAAUGUUGAAAAAUUAGCGGAUGACUUGUGGCUGGGGGUGAAAGGCCAAUCAAACCGGGAGAUAGCUGGUUCUCCCCGAAAGCUAUUUAGGUAGCGCCUCGUGAAUUCAUCUCCGGGGGUAGAGCACUGUUUCGGCAAGGGGGUCAUCCCGACUUACCAACCCGAUGCAAACUGCGAAUACCGGAGAAUGUUAUCACGGGAGACACACGGCGGGUGCUAACGUCCGUCGUGAAGAGGGAAACAACCCAGACCGCCAGCUAAGGUCCCAAAGUCAUGGUUAAGUGGGAAACGAUGUGGGAAGGCCCAGACAGCCAGGAUGUUGGCUUAGAAGCAGCCAUCAUUUAAAGAAAGCGUAAUAGCUCACUGGUCGAGUCGGCCUGCGCGGAAGAUGUAACGGGGCUAAACCAUGCACCGAAGCUGCGGCAGCGACGCUUAUGCGUUGUUGGGUAGGGGAGCGUUCUGUAAGCCUGCGAAGGUGUGCUGUGAGGCAUGCUGGAGGUAUCAGAAGUGCGAAUGCUGACAUAAGUAACGAUAAAGCGGGUGAAAAGCCCGCUCGCCGGAAGACCAAGGGUUCCUGUCCAACGUUAAUCGGGGCAGGGUGAGUCGACCCCUAAGGCGAGGCCGAAAGGCGUAGUCGAUGGGAAACAGGUUAAUAUUCCUGUACUUGGUGUUACUGCGAAGGGGGGACGGAGAAGGCUAUGUUGGCCGGGCGACGGUUGUCCCGGUUUAAGCGUGUAGGCUGGUUUUCCAGGCAAAUCCGGAAAAUCAAGGCUGAGGCGUGAUGACGAGGCACUACGGUGCUGAAGCAACAAAUGCCCUGCUUCCAGGAAAAGCCUCUAAGCAUCAGGUAACAUCAAAUCGUACCCCAAACCGACACAGGUGGUCAGGUAGAGAAUACCAAGGCGCUUGAGAGAACUCGGGUGAAGGAACUAGGCAAAAUGGUGCCGUAACUUCGGGAGAAGGCACGCUGAUAUGUAGGUGAAGUCCCUCGCGGAUGGAGCUGAAAUCAGUCGAAGAUACCAGCUGGCUGCAACUGUUUAUUAAAAACACAGCACUGUGCAAACACGAAAGUGGACGUAUACGGUGUGACGCCUGCCCGGUGCCGGAAGGUUAAUUGAUGGGGUUAGCGCAAGCGAAGCUCUUGAUCGAAGCCCCGGUAAACGGCGGCCGUAACUAUAACGGUCCUAAGGUAGCGAAAUUCCUUGUCGGGUAAGUUCCGACCUGCACGAAUGGCGUAAUGAUGGCCAGGCUGUCUCCACCCGAGACUCAGUGAAAUUGAACUCGCUGUGAAGAUGCAGUGUACCCGCGGCAAGACGGAAAGACCCCGUGAACCUUUACUAUAGCUUGACACUGAACAUUGAGCCUUGAUGUGUAGGAUAGGUGGGAGGCUUUGAAGUGUGGACGCCAGUCUGCAUGGAGCCGACCUUGAAAUACCACCCUUUAAUGUUUGAUGUUCUAACGUGGACCCGUGAUCCGGGUUGCGGACAGUGUCUGGUGGGUAGUUUGACUGGGGCGGUCUCCUCCUAAAGAGUAACGGAGGAGCACGAAGGUUGGCUAAUCCUGGUCGGACAUCAGGAGGUUAGUGCAAUGGCAUAAGCCAGCUUGACUGCGAGCGUGACGGCGCGAGCAGGUGCGAAAGCAGGUCAUAGUGAUCCGGUGGUUCUGAAUGGAAGGGCCAUCGCUCAACGGAUAAAAGGUACUCCGGGGAUAACAGGCUGAUACCGCCCAAGAGUUCAUAUCGACGGCGGUGUUUGGCACCUCGAUGUCGGCUCAUCACAUCCUGGGGCUGAAGUAGGUCCCAAGGGUAUGGCUGUUCGCCAUUUAAAGUGGUACGCGAGCUGGGUUUAGAACGUCGUGAGACAGUUCGGUCCCUAUCUGCCGUGGGCGCUGGAGAACUGAGGGGGGCUGCUCCUAGUACGAGAGGACCGGAGUGGACGCAUCACUGGUGUUCGGGUUGUCAUGCCAAUGGCACUGCCCGGUAGCUAAAUGCGGAAGAGAUAAGUGCUGAAAGCAUCUAAGCACGAAACUUGCCCCGAGAUGAGUUCUCCCUGACUCCUUGAGAGUCCUGAAGGAACGUUGAAGACGACGACGUUGAUAGGCCGGGUGUGUAAGCGCAGCGAUGCGUUGAGCUAACCGGUACUAAUGAACCGUGAGGCUUAACCUUACAACGCCGAAGCUGUU
rnacentral:rRNA from 1 species